ACUCCUACGGGAGGCAGCAGUGGGGAAUAUUGGACAAUGGGGGCAACCCUGAUCCAGCCAUGCCGCGUGAGUGAAGAAGGCCCUAGGGUCGUAAAGCUCUUUCAACUGUGAAGAUAAUGACGGUAGCAGUAGAAGAAACCCCGGCUAACUCCGUGCCAGCAGCCGCGGUAAUACGGAGGGGUUAGCGUUGUUCGGAAUUACUGGGCGUAAAGCGCACGUAGGCGGACUAUUAAGUUAGAGGUGAAAUCCCAGGGCUCAACCCUGGAACUGCCUUUAAUACUGGUAGUCUUGAUUCGAGAGAGGUGAGUGGAAUUCCGAGUGUAGAGGUGAAAUUCGUAGAUAUUCGGAGGAACACCAGUGGCGAAGGCGGCUCACUGGCUCGAUACUGACGCUGAGGUGCGAAAGUGUGGGGAGCAAACAGGAUUAGAUACCCUGGUAGCUACGAG
rnacentral:rRNA from 1 species